CAUGCAAGUCGAGCGACAGAGAAGGAGCUUGCUCCUUUGACGUUAGCGGCGGACGGGUGAGUAACACGUGGGCAACCUACCUUAUAGUUUGGGAUAACUCCGGGAAACCGGGGCUAAUACCGAAUAAUCUGUUCCACCUCAUGGUGGAACACUGAAAGACGGUUUCGGCUGUCGCUAUAGGAUGGGCCCGCGGCGCAUUAGCUAGUUGGUGAGGUAACGGCUCACCAAGGCGACGAUGCGUAGCCGACCUGAGAGGGUGAUCGGCCACACUGGGACUGAGACACGGCCCAGACUCCUACGGGAGGCAGCAGUAGGGAAUCUUCCACAAUGGGCGAAAGCCUGAUGGAGCAACGCCGCGUGAGUGAAGAAGGUUUUCGGAUCGUAAAACUCUGUUGUAAGGGAAGAACAAGUACAGUAGUAACUGGCUGUACCUUGACGGUACCUUAUUAGAAAGCCACGGCUAACUACGUGCCAGCAGCCGCGGUAAUACGUAGGUGGCAAGCGUUGUCCGGAAUUAUUGGGCGUAAAGCGCGCGCAGGCGGUCCUUUAAGUCUGAUGUGAAAGCCCACGGCUCAACCGU
rnacentral:rRNA from 1 species